AAAACCUAUGAAGUAUUACAAAAAUACAAAUUAAUGUAAAAAAUCAACAAACGUAUGCACUAAAACGUAGAAAAUAACAACAGUCCAUCAAAAUGUAAAUAGUCAUACUCAAGUUUUAUUUUAAGAUUCUUAUGAAUCCAUGUCAACAAUUUAUUAUAAUCAUUAUAAUCAUUAAAAUAUGAUACUAUUUUAUCAAAUAUUCGAGAUGACAAAUCGAUUA